GCUGCCCAGUACACGACUGCCCAUCGCUGGGAUCCUGAGCGCCUGGUGUCCUACAAUAAGAUGUAUUACUUUCGGGAUCAUACACACACAAACAUCAAUAAAUAUGGAGAGAGACUCAGAUGCAGCAGAGAGAAAUGACCAGGAGCCAAGGAGGUGGGAAGGUCCCAGGCCCAACCCUGCCCCAAACUUCCCAUGUGGCCAAGACAGCCGAGUCCUCAAAGGCUCUGGAGCCCUCAGCCCUGCACAGGAUCGAGAAGGAAGGA
rnacentral:lncRNA from 1 species